rfam:Moraxella atlantae strain CCTG 59586 contig_53, whole genome shotgun sequence.
GGCUUUUUUCGCCCAGGCGGAGCUCGACCGCCCAUAUAGGUGAUAGUCAAAUUCAUUGAUAACGAGAAACAGCAUUAUGAGGCCCUUUCAAUUUGCAGAAUCCUACCAAUCGCCCCA